AAGACCCUGUUGAGCUUGACUCUAGUCCGACGUUGUGAAAUGACUUAUGAGGUGUAGCGUAGGCAGGAGCUUCGGCGAACAUGAAACACUGCCACUCGUAAUGUUGUUUUACUUAUCUUGUCGCGUAGCGUCCAUCCGUCCUCGCGGGCGCGUGGUUCUAGCGUUAACUGUGCCAUUGUCCCAUUAGCUACGCAAGAGACAACGUCAGGUUGGGAGUUUGGCUGGGGCGGCACAU
rnacentral:rRNA from 1 species